AACGAACGCUGGCGGCAUGCCUGACACAUGCAAGUCGAACGAGAUCUUCGGGUCUAGUGGCGCACGGGUGCGUAACGCGUGGGAAUCUGCCCUUUGGUUCGGAAUAACAGUUGGAAACGACUGCUAAUACCGGAGGAUGACUAAAGUCCACAGAUUUAUCGCCAGAGGAUGAGCCCGCGUAGGAUUAGCUAGUUGGUGUGGUAAAGGCGCACCAAGGCGACGAUCCUUAGCUGGUCUGAGAGGAUGAUCAGCCGCACUGGGACUGAGACACGGCCCAGACUCCUACGGGAGGCAGCAGUGGGGAAUAUUGGACAGUGGGCGAAAGCCUGAUCCAGCAAUGCCGCGUGAGUGAUGAAGGCCUUAGGGUUGAAAAGCUCUUUUACCCGGGAUGAUAAUGACAUUACCGGGAGAAUAAGCUCCGGCUAACUCCUUGCCAGCAGCCGCCGCGG
rnacentral:rRNA from 1 species